GACGAACGCUGGCGGCGUGCAUAACACAUGCAAGUCGAGCGGUAAGGCCCUUCGGGGUACACGAGCGGCGAACGGGUGAGUAACACGUGAGUAAUCUGCCCAUCACUUCGGGAUAACUCCGGGAAACCGGUGCUAAUACCGAAUAUGACCACUUCAGGCAUCUGAUGGUGGUGGAAAGUUCCGGCGGUGAUGGAUGAGCUCGCGGCCUAUCAGCUUGUUGGUGGGGUAGUGGCCUACCAAGGCUUCGACGGGUAGCCGGCCUGAGAGGGUGACCGGCCACACUGGGGCUGAGACACGGCCCAGACUCCUACGGGAGGCAGCAGUGGGGAAUAUUGGACAAUGGGCGAAAGCCUGAUCCAGCAACGCCGCGUGAGGGAUGACGGCCUUCGGGUUGUAAACCUCUUUCAGCAGGGACGAAGCGCAAGUGACGGUACCUGCAGAAGAAGCACCGGCCAACUACGUG
rnacentral:rRNA from 1 species